GUUUGCUGCGAGCAGCCGCACGGAUCGCACCGCGGAGCGCAGGAGCGGCUCCGGGGCUGUCAUUAACGGGAGUGCGUGCCGAAAACGCGAGGCCGAGAAUGACUCGACGGUGACUGGCUGAACCGCAGAACUCCCUGUCGUGAGAUAUUCCUCAGACCAAAAUCCAAAGUAAUACUCAGAAGACAACGAGGACUUCCUGUGCAAGGUACUCCUGCUGGGUUAGUAUCACAAAUGGAAACAGAUGAUGCAAGUCGUCCCCAGCAAGUAGCACCUGGUCGUGAAGCAUGAAGAAACAGGUUUUGAAUCACCAAGGAAAUGGCAUCAAAAUACACCCCGGGAGGUGGACAGCCUCAGUGUGGGAUGGAGGAAGCAAGAUCUCCCCACUGCCAGAGGAGUGGAUCUCCAGCUGUUCUACCUCACCUCUGCAGUUGGUUAGCAAGUGGGGCCCUGCCUGGCAGCCUCACUUCUCUGCUAGCUGGGGAGUGGCUCCUUAAUCCCAUUCUUGCUUGACUUCAUGGCAGCCCUUACACAAUCCCUGGCAACACUGCCAGGCAUCUCUGUUAUGUGAACACCCCCAGAGCUCUUCUGUACUCAGCUUGAAACAACUUCAAAGAUGCACUGCUUCUGGCCUUCAGAAGAAAGUUGCUGCUGCCCUCAGAGGGGUAGCAUUCCCUGGCUUCCCUCCUUCGCGUUUCCCUUCCCUCAGCCUCUUCACUUUCUUUUCUCUCCUCUCCUCUGAUCCCCUCUUGGAUGCUGAUCCUUUAACCUCACCAGCACAGAACUGGGACCCACGUAUUUCUCCUCUCCGGGCUGCUUCCAUCUUGGCAGAGAGCCCCAGCAGGGAGGCAGGGGGCACUGGCAGCCUUCCUCUCCCAGAGGCCUUGCAGAAGGACACCCCACUACCACUGCUGGCCUCUGCCCCGUCCUUUGCUGGGGACAAGAGGACAGGGCAGUGAGGGAGAGGCCAGGCUGAAAGCAGAGCCAGUUCUCACCUCUUUGAUCACGAAUCUUGUAAUGGUUGGAUAUUUUUUUUUCCUGGAAUUCCAGUUCUGUGGAAGUAAAUAAAGAAG
rnacentral:lncRNA from 7 species